GGCAUCCUUUAUUUUUGUUCCAUGAAAAGUUCUGGGUGCUUUCUGAAGACUCUUUCCCUUGUGCAGGUAUCACACUCAUCAGGUAGUUCAGCUCACCUGUGAAACUGAGAACCCUGGAUGGUGAAGAGAGGAAACUAGCAAAGGAUCCAGACACUUUGUCUAGGUAGUCCUGGAAGUUCUGGAAUUUAGAAAAUAAGCCAGUGCUUGAACUGAGACCUCCGCUGCCCUAGCCUCUCCAGUGCUGGGGUAAAAGGCUUGCACCACCUGGCCUUUCUGACUUGUUCUGACAUGACCACACUUGAGACUUCUGCAUGAGGUUUGAGAAGAUUGUUCUUCUCCUGUCCUGUGGAUGGUUUUCCAGAGGUCUCUAACUGCUCAGUCAGAUCUGCUCACCUGUUAAUCAGAACUAAGAGCCCUGGAUGGUGAACACAGAGGAAACUAUAGCCAAGGAACCAGGUAAGAGUAACUAGAAGAAUGAACGCCUCUCUCCUAAAUGCUCCUCAGGGUCAGUUAACAUUCAAGGAUGUGGCUGUUGACUUCUCACAGGAGGAAUGGGAAUGUCUUGACUGUGCUCAGAGGGCAUUGUACAUGGAUGUGAUGUUGGAGAAUUACAAUAAUCUGCUUUUUGUGGAGAAUCAAUACAUGUGUCCUGAAUUUGAGAACAUGUUGAAUCAAGAUCUACAGCAUAUUGUCCACGAACAUGCAAAUACCCAAGUG
rnacentral:lncRNA from 1 species